rnacentral:rRNA from 1 species
GGCGCAAGGGUGCGUAACACGUGGGUAAUCUGCCUUGAAGCCCGGAAUAACUCCGAGAAAUCGGAGCUAAUACCGGAUGUGAUGUUUGGAUGGCAUCUUUUGAACAUCAAAGUUGGGGACCGUAAGGCCUGACACUUUAAGAUGAGCCCGCGGCCUAUCAGCUAGUUGGUGAGGUAAAAGCUCACCAAGGCUAAGACGGGUAGCUGGUCUGAGAGGACGACCAGCCACACUGGAACUGAGACACGGUCCAGACACCUACGGGUGGCAGCAGUCGAGAAUUUUUCACAAUGGGCGAAAGCCUGAUGGAGCGACGCCGCGUGGGGGAUGAAUGGCUUCGGCCCGUAAACCCCUGUCAUUUGCGAACAAACCUCGUUAUUUAAAAGAUGACGAGCUGAUUGUAGCGAAAGAGGAAGGGACGGCUAACUCUGUGCCAGCAGCCGCGGUAAUACAGAGGUCCCAAGCGUUGUUCGGAUUCACUGGGCGUAAAGGGUGCGUAGGCGGUCGGGUAAGUCUGAUGUGAAAUCUUCGAGCUCAACUCGGAAACUGCAUCGGAUACUAUCUG